CUUUAUUCUCCCAAUUAAAAUGCUGUUUGGGACCCUAAGGUGCCCCUGUACCCUUGAUGUUAAUAACAUUGCAUUUGUAGCUUAAAUUCCUUAGAAAAUGUUAAUGACCAAAAAGCCAAAUAUUUAGUGUAUCAGGAAUACCACCUCUCUUUGUCCGUAUUGCACUUUUAUUUCUAACUAUGCACUGUGAAGAGAUAAUUUUCCCUGUUGUUGGUGUUUUACUGAGCUGUGUGAAACCUUAAGUUCUAUCCUGCUUAAAGCCAGACCUACAGACUUGAUGUCACUUCAGCCUAGAGUCCAUCCAGGCUGAUCUAUGGUCUGGCUGGAAGGAAGCCAUGUCUCGAGGACAGUCAGCAACAGAAAAUGAAAUACCACGCUAGAGACUGGAGUGUGGAGGGUUGGGAGUAGCCAGAAUUUGGAUUGUGGGACAAUUCCACAUGACUCUGGCUGUCUUAAACUGUUAAGCCAUGAUGGGUGGGAAGCUGGAGAGGCUGUCCUACAAAGUACUCUUUUCAACAGGUCCAGACUUUAUGCAUUUUGUCCAUGAUGUCUUCAUUCUUUAAGCUUGAGUAUUAUGGGUAAUCAUGUUUCGCCUUCCUUUGUGGGACCAUUUGACCCAGUCCUUAAAACAAACUCAUUUUGAAUUGAGUUUCAGACUUUGAGAAAGUGCAAGGAUUUAAUUUUAGAGGGUAUAGAACACUAUGAGUCUCCAUGUAGGUCUUUAUACACUGGGAACAGAGUCUAUUAACUUCCCUUUCCCUAGCCCACCGCUAAUACAAAGGGAGUAAGAUUCCACUUGAUAAGUAGGUUUGAGCAUUGUGUCAUUGCUGUCACUUGUAUGUUUCCCCUCCUCUGAUUUUCCCUGAAUAACCUUUUUUCAUAUCCAUACUCUGGACUCUGUCAUUGCAGUCAAAGUUACUGGCGGCUGAAAGUUUACUGUACUCAAUGUCAGGGUGCAGCUGUUUGCACAGAAAGGAGCCGUUGUGCUAGAUUAAAGUUUCAGAGCUCAGUAGAUUGAGAUUGUAAUGUCUGUCAUGUAUGCAUGCAUUUCUGUAACAGACAUGCAUCAACUUUUACAUAAGUACGCUUGUGUGACUCGUUGAGAAAACACAGGAAAGAAAGAUUGUAAGUCCAAAUCAUGUCUUCCACUUUGCUCUUCUAUAUUUCUUGACCACUUAGAAAAAAAGCUCACAAGCCUUUGAAGAAACAGCAGCAGGCUGUUAUUUUUUUCAAGGUUUACAAAUUAAGUGCUUGAUUUUUAAUGUAUUCUCGCUACUGUUUUGAUUUUCAGAUCUUGAUUCAAUAUUUGAAGAUGUGCCUUUUAUUGGGUAAUGUUAAUUCUCGAAUGUAGUAAUGUUGUACCACAAUUGUAAUGUUACAUGAUCAUGGGUGUGGCAUUCUCUGACAAAUUAUGUGACAAGAAAGUCAUUUUCAGAGAACUCAUGGCUCCGAUUGCACAGUCCCCUUGCUAAAGCAAAGGGCACUCUCUUAAGGCUACUUCAGAACUGGUCUUUGUAUUUUCUCUAAGUGAUGGAUGCGUCGUGUCCAUUUAGAGGCAGGGUACCACGUGUCCCAGGCAGCCCUAGAUAUGUGCCAUGAGAAAGUUCAAAGACUAACAAAGUCUACAGGAACUCAAAAUUUCAUUUUUGUAAUGGUAACCCCCCAAGAUUUUCUCCAAGAAAUAAAUUAUUUUGUACUUUAUAACUUAAAAGCAGCUAGUAGUACAUUUCUGAGAUAUAGCAGAAGACCAAAACAUUUUUGGAAAAAGAAUAAAUAUAUAAAGAGAGACUGGUUGUUUUAUUUUCAGUGUGCUGAUUAGACUAUUUAUUGUGUGAGUGGAUGAGAUGAAAUACAUAUUCAGGUGUUCAGUGUGUGAUUAAGAGUGGAAUAUAGAUUUCUUUGGCAUUAUUAAAUCCAUGAUGUCUUCUACAUAAUGGACACAUCAAAUAUGAAAGAAAAACAAACACUUUGGCAUAGCUUAGCUUGUUUUCUGGUGCUGUUGACCUGCAGAAGAGUAUACUUUUGCAUAUACAGGUGAAUGUCUUGCAAUUUAUGUAUACAAGAAAUUGUAGGCAUUAAAAUAUUUUGUUGAUAUUU
rnacentral:lncRNA from 1 species